rnacentral:lncRNA from 1 species
GUAUGAAGAUUGGCCAAGCAACUUGCAGUAACUUUUGGGGGUGGUCUCCCUUAGAAUCCAAAUGGCCGCGAUAACAUUAAAUACAAAGCAUUGGCAAUAGCAUUGGCAAUAGCAUAACAUUUGGAGUAACUUGCAGUAACUUGCAGUAACUUUUGGAGAGCAGCUGAACAUAACAUUGGCAAUAGCAUGAGGUAGGCCGCGAUAACGAAUCUCCAAAGCAUUUUUAUUGGCAUAUUAUGAGAAAUGACUAAUAAAAGGAAGAGAAUACAGUAGAUGUGCCUGGGAGGGGAGAGAAUAUA